GGGGCCACCCCCUUCUUCCUGUGGAUUUACAUGGCUUCCUUUGAGGGCAGGAUGUGGAUGAAUCUUGGAAUCAGAAUUCCUUCCUCACCUGGCCAGGCACUUGGGGAUGACGGACCUUCUCUCUGUUCGUGGGGCUGGCCUGGCUGGGACUAAGCACAGGAGCAAAAGAAUGCGUGCUGCUUCCCAGCCCCCAAGGUCAAGGCGUUUCCUUGUUUAAUCCCCUGGGCUUGCACCAAAAAUAGAAGCUUGCUUCAUCCACACCGUCAAGGCCUUUCCCGUGACUCCUCCUCUCCAGAAACCCCCAGCGGUUAUUAGGGAGCUGAGCUCAUCCCUGUAAGGCACCCCACAGCCCCUGCCCACGCGGCAGUAGCGCGCACUCGCCCGCACCUGGGAGCGCGCUGAUUCUCCUUCCUGCUGAUCUUAUUGCAGCCCAGCUACGGGAUGUGUGGUGUGUUUGCAGAAGUGGGAUGGACGAGUGUCGAUGUCGGAAUACAGAAGUAGAGGGAGGUCUCUGCGAGCCAGAUGGAGGACCCAAGUACCGCAAGACGCAGCAGCCCUCAAGCCCAAGAGAGUUCACAGUCCCUGAGACUCAGACUUGGGAGGGCCGUAGAGACUCCCCGAAUGACAGGUGGAAUUGCGACAGCGCUUGCAAGGCCCCAGGGUGGAGGGUGAUUCUUCCUGGAGAGAGAAGAAAGCCUUGAAGGAAGAGAAGAUGACGCCCCAAGCGAGUUUUGAAGAGUGAGUGCAACGUUGUCAGGUGGACCAGCGACUAGGACAUUCUUGUUAGAGGGGUGGAAGGGGCUUUGGUGACCCUCAUCAUCUUCGGCACCCUUCAAGGCCACCCUAAAUAAGCUUUCUAAGUAAAAAUGACACAUUUGCUCUGCAUA